AGUUUACAACACAAAAGCAGAUGUAGUUAAUCAUAUUUGAUAUUACACACGCAUGUGAAUUAAGAGUGCAACCAUUCACCUUUUACAGCUAUGUUGUGUGUGUGACUACUUCUGUGUCAUUACCCCAGCCAAUGAGAAGGUAUCCACAGAAAUAGCGGUUUCCGGAGAAUACCAUCAUCCCCAGCAGGUUGUGGAGAUACAGGCCUUCCACCAGCAGCCAGUAGUAGUUGGCUCCCACACAGUACUGCAUCAGCACCUGAGCCACGCGGCAGCCAGACACUGCCUGAUGUCCCUGUUGUCUCUGAACUCCGGAGUGUCUCUGCUCAGCAGAGCGUCUCUGCUCAGGAUGGAAACAGCUCGCAGAAUGAACGAUGCAAACAGACACAUACCAGAGUCCUGUGAAGGAGGAAGAGGAUGAGCAAUGUGUCAGAGGCCUUCAUCACUCAGACGUGUGCCAGGGUGGCCGCCGGUAGAUCAUCUCAGAGCUUUACAAGAUACCACAACGUCACUGAGGGGUCAUCAGGCGUCAUGUAAAAGAAAACGUUAGGAAAAGAAGCUAACGUACCUGGCCAGGAAGACUGUGGGCUGGCGUGUGACGAGCAAAGCCUGCUGUGGUGUGAGGAUGGCGAACGAGAGAAGUGAGAUCAAAAAGAAAGAAAAAAAAAGACUGUGUUUCUCAAAAAAGAGGAUUCAUUAGACUUAAACAUUGUUACGCACCCAUUUAAAUGAACUUGUCCUAACUUGACGUUAAGAUAUUGGGCUAUAAGUUAAACUAGCCAUAUACUGUACAUAAUGAAUCAGACUUUGACUCUAACAGGAUAGUCAUCUGGGCUGGCUGUGCCUCUGUCUGCCUUAGCUGUGUGUAUUCCUGUCCCAUUCUGCCACUCUGUUCCUCCCUCCAGCCACAUUCCCUAAACCCAUUCAGGGUUAAUUUUUUUCUUUUCAGCCCUGCGGCUUAUAAUCGGCCCUUUUUAAAACAUUUGUGGCCAGUUUGUCAAAUUUGUCAUGUGCCUCAUGACAGUGCUUUGUAGCAUUAUUCUGUUUUACCUGUCUGUUAUCUGUGUUCGGGUCCUUCCCUUGUUGCUUGUAUCCACCGGCUAUGGCAGUAUACUAUUAAAUGGCAUACAACAAGCAUGAUUUCUACUGUAAACACCUAGAGACAACAUAGUUUCAUUAUGCUACAGAGAGCAAAUUACUUACAAAGCGCUAAGUCUCAGACAUGUCACUAACAUCUGGUACUUUCAAGAAUCCUGUUAAGCUUCUCUCCUCUCUCAGCAUCGUA